GUGCCAGCCGCGGCGGUAAUACGGAGGGUGCAAGCGUUAAUCGGAAUUACUGGGCGUAAAGCGCACGCAGGCGGUUGAUUAAGCCAGAUGUGAAAUCCCCGGGCUCAACCCGGGAACUGCAUCUGAUACUGGUCAGCUGGAGUCUCGUAGAGGGAGGUAGAAUUCCAGGUGUAGCGGUGAAAUGCGUAGAGAUCUGGAGGAAUACCGGUGGCGAAGGCGGCCCCCUGGACGAAGACUGACGCUCAGGUGCGAAAGCGUGGGGAGCAAACAGGAUUAGAUACCCUGGUAGUCCACGCCGUAACGAUGUCUAUUUGAGUUGUGCCUUGAGUGUGGCUUCCGGAGCUAACGCGUUAAAUAGACCGCC
rnacentral:rRNA from 1 species